rnacentral:lncRNA from 1 species
AUUCAUACUCUUUAUGUAGCCUCAUAAGGACAGAAACAAGAAUAUCUUUCAAGAGGCUGUGUGUUACAUUACUGUAUGGGAACUGCUGAGUCAUGGCCUGAACCACUGAUUGAUCACCUGUGAAAAGGACUGGAUCAGCCCUGGGAGCACAGGGUUUCCAAGAAGGCAAUGUAAAGGAUAUCCAACGUCAACAAGUGCUUUUGUUGCCAAUGCCUACUGCAGAGGAGGGUGAGGAGGCUGCCAAGAAGAGUUUCAGAAUGGAUGAAAGCCCUACACCAAACAAAGGUCUAAAGGCUGUGGUCGAGAGCAGGCAUGGACUGACCAACUAUCCACCAUUUUUGCCUCCAAAUAUUUUCCAAGUUUUAACCCUUCAUGAGAGGCUGUUCUUGUCUUGCUCAGGUGAUGUGUCUCACCUGGAAGCUGUCCUGAAAGGAUGAGAAAUCUUGUCAUUCUUUCUUCCUACGCUGAACUAACAAUCAAGACACGUGAGCUUUGCAUGUUACAUGCUUUACUUUAGGGUCUCUUGGUUCUCUGGUACUGGUAUCACUAGUACUGACUUCUGACUUACCUGGAUCAUGAAAAGCUUCCUUUUGAUUUACUGAGCACAAAAAUCUAAAAAUAAAAUCCUGUUUCCUCAACUAGUGAUAGCCAGCGUUGGACUUCGCAAUUCAGAAAACUUCA